GCACAGGAACUUCCCAAAUGUAUGAAUCUUUGAAUAAAACAAAAUUCACUGAUUAAAUUCAGGUGUGAUGGGGCUAACCAAAUAUUCCUGAAGAUUGCUUUUGUAGAAGAGGAUUUAAAUAUGGACUUUUUUUUCUCCUAUAGUUUGGGAAAAAAACACUUUAACAAGAUAUAAUUGUCACAUAAUAAGCUGCAUAUAUUUACAUUGUAUAAUUUGUUAAGUUAUACCUGUGAAAUUAAAAUGAUAAACAUAACCUUUGCCUCCAAAAGUUUCCUCAUGCCACUUUUUUAAUCCCUUCAUGCUAUUCUAUCCCAUCCCCUUCCCUAGUAGUAAUCAUCACUUUCUGGCAAGCCACUAAUCUGCCGUUACCAUAUCUUAGGUUUUUAAAAAUAUUUAUAUCUGAUUUAUUAAACAUAUUAAAUUAUACAUACACAUAAGCCUUUUCGGUCUGUUUGCUUUAAAUGUUUUAUUUAUAGAUUUUACUUUGGGGAACAAUUUUAGAUUUACACAAAAAUUGAGCAGAUAAUAUAGAGAAUGCUCAUAUAUCAUUUGUACAUAUUUCUCUAUAAGCAUUUUAAAUUAAUAGGGUACAUUUGUUAUAACUAAUGAACUAAUACGGAUAUAUUAUUAUUAACUAAUAUUCAUAGUUCAUUUAGAUUUUCUUCAUUUUCACUUAAUGUCCUUUUUUCUUUCUAGGAUUCCAUCCAGGACAGCACAUUUAAUUGUUAUGAUGUCUUGGGCUCCUCUUGGCUGUGAGAGUUUCUCAGAUUUUCCUUGUAUCUGAUGACCUUCACAGUCCUUAAGAGUAUAGGUAAAUACCUAGCAGUGAAAUGGCUGGAUAAAUCAAGGAAAGACUGUGACGGCACAGCAAGAAGGCAGCCAUCUGCAAGCCAGGAAGGGAGGCCUCAUCAGAAAUCAACUCUGGUACCUUGACCUCGGAUUUCCAGCCUGCAGAACAGUGACAAAAUAAAUCCUGUCAUUUAAGCUAUGCAGUCUUUGGUAUUUUGUUACGUCAACCCAAAUAGACUGUAUUAGUCAGGUUUCUCUAGAGCGAUGGAACUAAUAGGGUGGGUAUACAUAUAUAAAGGGGAGUUUAUCAAAUCACAUUAACUCACAUAAUUACAAGGUCCCACAAUAGUCUGUCUGCAAGCUAAGGAGCAAGGAAGCCAGUCUGACUCCCGAAGCUGAAGAACUUAGAGUUUGACAUCCAAGGGAAGAAAGCAUCCAGCAUGGAAGAAAG
rnacentral:lncRNA from 1 species